ACUUCAUCAAACGGAAAAGGUUUUACGUAAGGUAAAUUAAUAGGGAAUCGUGUGAGAAUCACGAGCUGUCGCGCAACUGUAAGUAAUACACCAAAGGUUUUUGUCCACGCAUAUCCACUGUAUAAACGGGAAGGAUGACAACAACUGUUACAAGUCAGGAGACCUGCCUGUUCCGAAUUGACAAUG
rnacentral:ncRNA from 17 species